rnacentral:rRNA from 1 species
GACGAACGCUGGCGGCGUGCUUAACACAUGCAAGUCGAACGGAAAGGCCCUGCUUUUGUGGGGUGCUCGAGUGGCGAACGGGUGAGUAACACGUGAGUAACCUGCCCUUGACUUUGGGAUAACUUCAGGAAACUGGGGCUAAUACCGGAUAGGAGCUCCUGCUGCAUGGUGGGGGUUGGAAAGUUUCGGCGGUUGGGGAUGGACUCGCGGCUUAUCAGCUUGUUGGUGGGGUAGUGGCUUACCAAGGCUUUGACGGGUAGCCGGCCUGAGAGGGUGACCGGCCACAUUGGGACUGAGAUACGGCCCAGACUCCUACGGGAGGCAGCAGUGGGGAAUAUUGCACAAUGGGCGGAAGCCUGAUGCAGCAACGCCGCGUGCGGGAUGACGGCCUUCGGGUUGUAAACCGCCUUCGCCUGUGACGAAGCGUGAGUGACGGUAAUGGGUAAAGAAGCACCGGCUAACUACGUGCCAGCAGCCGCGGUGAUACGUAGGGUGCGAGCGUUGUCCGGAUUUAUUGGGCGUAAAGGGCUCGUAGGUGGUUGAUCGCGUCGGAAGUGUAAUCUUGGGGCUUAACCCUGAGCGUGCUUUCGAUACGGGUUGACUUGAGGAAGGUAGGGGAGAAUGGAAUUCCUGGUGGAGCGGUGGAAUGCGCAGAUAUCAGGAGGAACACCAGUGGCGAAGGCGGUUCUCUGGGCCUUUCCUGACGCUGAGGAGCGAAAGCGUGGGGAGCGAACAGGCUUAGAUACCCUGGUAGUCCACGCUGUAAACGGUGGGUACUAGGUGUGGGGUCCAUUCCACGGGUUCCGUGCCGUAGCUAGCGCUUUAAGUACCCCGCCUGGGGAGUACGGCCGCAAGGCUAAAACUCAAAGGAAUUGACGGGGCCCUGCACAAGCGGCGGAGCAUGCGGAUUAAUUCGAUGCAACGCGUAGAACCUUACCUGGGUUUGACAUGGAUCGGGAGCGCUCAGAGAUGGGUGUGCCUCUUUUGGGGUCGGUUCACAGGUGGUGCAUGGCUGUCGUCAGCUCGUGCCGUGAGAUGUUGGGUUAAGUCCCGCAACGAGCGCAACCCUUGUUCACUGUUGCCAGCACGUUAUGGUGGGGACUCAGUGGAGACCGCCGGGGUCAACUCGGAGGAAGGUGGGGAUGACGUCAAGUCAUCAUGCCCCUUAUGUCCAGGGCUUCACGCAUGCUACAAUGGCUGGUACAGAGAGUGGCGAGCCUGUGAGGGUGAGCGAAUCUCGGAAAGCCGGUCUCAGUUCGGAUUGGGGUCUGCAACUCGACCUCAUGAAGUCGGAGUCGCUAGUAAUCGCAAAUCAGCAACGCUGCGGUGAAUACGUUCCCGGG